UUAAGUUCAGCGGGUAUUCCUACCUGAUCCGAGGUCAACCUUGUGGAGGACGUUUCUUAGGCGUCUCGUUUAACGGCGGAGCGCGUCCGGGCUCCCGGGGCGAAGAGUUUCUACUACGCUCGGGUUUCCGGCCGGCUCGCCACUGCACUUGGGGGCCUGCGCUCUCGCGCAGCGCCCCAACGCCAGGCUGGGCCUGAGGG
rnacentral:misc_RNA from 1 species